GAUGAACGCUGGCGGCGUGCCUAAUACAUGCAAGUCGAGCGAACAGACGCGGAGCUUGCUCCUCUGACGUUAGCGGCGGACGGGUGAGUAAAACGUGUAUAACCUACCUAUAAGACUGGGAUAACUUCGGGAAACCGGAGCUAUUACCGGCUAAUAUAUUGAACUGCAUGUUUCAAUAGUGAAAGACGGUUUUGCUGUCACUUAUAGAUGGAUCCGCGCCGCAUUAGCUAGUUGGUAAGGUAACGGCUUACCAAGGCAACGAUGCGUAGCCGACCUGAGAGGGUGAUGGGCAACAAGGAAACGGAGACACGGUCAAGACUCCUAGGGGAGGCAGAAGGAGGGAAUCUUCCGAAAAGGGCAAAAGCCUGACGGAGAAACGCCGCGUGAAUGAUGAAGGUAUUCGGAUCGUAAAACUCUGUUAUUAGGGAAGAACAAAUGUGUAAGUAACUAUGCACGACUUGACGGUACCUAAUCAGAAAGCCACGGCUAACUACGUG
rnacentral:rRNA from 1 species